UACGUAUGGAGCAAGCGUUAUCCGGAUUUACUGGGUGUAAAGAGUACGUAGGUGGCAACCUAAGCGCAGGGUUUAAGGCAAUGGCUCAACCAUUGUUCGCCCUGCGAACUGGGAUGCUUGAGUGCAGGAGAGGAAAGCGGAAUUCCUAGUGUAGCGGUGAAAUGCGUAGAUAUUAGGAGGAACACCAGUGGCGAAGGCGGCUUUCUGGACUGUAACUGACACUGAGGUACGAAAGCGUGGGGAGCAAACAGG
rnacentral:rRNA from 1 species